rnacentral:rRNA from 1 species
GAUGAACGCUGGCGGCGUGCUUAACACAUGCAAGUCGAGCGAAGUUAUAGUGACGGAGGAUUUCGGUCUGAAGGCGUUAUAACUUAGCGGCGGACGGGUGAGUAACGUGUGGGCAACCUACCGUAUACUACGGGAUAAUGACGGGAAACCGUGACUAAUACCGUAUGUGGUCGUCUAAAGACAUCUUUGGACGAAGAAAGGAGCAAUCCGGUAAACGAUGGGCCCGCAUCUGAUUAGCUGGUUGGUGAGAUAAAAGCUCACCAAGGCGACGAUCAGUAGCCGACCUGAGAGGGUGAUCGGCCACAUUGGGACUGAGACACGGCCCAAACUCCUACGGGAGGCAGUAGUGGGGAAUAUUGCACAAUGGGGGAAACCCUGAUGCAGCAACGCCGCGUGAAGGAGGAAGGUUUUCGGAUCGUAAACUUCUAUCAAUAGGGAAGAAAGAAAUGACGGUACCUAAAUAAGAAGCCCCGGCUAACUACGUGCCAGCAGCCGCGGUAAUACGUAGGGGGCAAGCGUUAUCCGGAAUUACUGGGUGUAAAGGGAGCGUAGGUGGCAUGGUAAGUUAGAUGUGAAAGCCCGAGGCUUAACGUCGAGGAUUGCAUUUAAAACUAUCAAGCUUAGAGUACAGGAGAGGAAAGCGGAAUUCCCAGUGUAGCGGUGAAAUGCGUAGAUAUUGGGAAGAACACCGGUGGCGAAGGCGGCUUUCUGGACUGAAACUGACGCUGAGGCUCGAAAGCGUGGGGAGCGAACAGGAUUAGAUACCCUGGUAGUCCACGCUGUAAACGAUGAGUGUUAGGUGUUGCAGGGGAACCUGCGGUGCCGCAGCAGACGCAAUAAACACUCCACCUGGGGAGUACGAUCGCAAGAUUGAAACUCAAAGGAAUUGACGGGGACCCGCACAAGCGGUGGAGCAUGUGGUUUAAUUCGAAGCAACGCGAAGAACCUUACCAAGGCUUGACAUCGUAAUGACCGGUAUAGAGAUAUGCCUUUCCUUCGGGACAUUACAGACAGGUGGUGCAUGGUUGUCGUCAGCUCGUGUCGUGAGAUGUUGGGUUAAGUCCCGCAACGAGCGCAACCCUUAUUUUUAGUAGCCAGUAUUAAGUUAGGCACUCUAAAAAGACUGCCGUGGAUAACACGGAGGAAGGUGGGGAUGACGUCAAAUCAUCAUGCCCCUUAUGUCUUGGGCUACACACGUGCUACAAUGGCUUAUACAAAGAGAGGCGAGACUGUGAAGUUAAGCGAACCUCAAAAAGUAAGUCUUAGUUCGGAUUGCAGGCUGCAACUCGCCUGCAUGAAGUCGGAAUCGCUAGUAAUCGCAAAUCAGAAUGUUGCGGUGAAUACGUUCCCGGGUCUUGUACACACCGCCCGUCACACCAUGGGAAUCGGAAGCACCCGAAGUCGAUGACCCAACUGCAAAGAGGGAGUUGCCGAAGGUGAAGCCGGUGACUGGGGUG